GGGCGGUUAGUUCAGAGGAAGAACGCUUGCUUGACACGCAAGAGGUCACUGGUUCAAGUCCAGUACUGCCCACCA
rnacentral:tRNA from 6 species